AGUCCAAUACAAACAGAAACGUGACAACAGAAGAGAGUUGGGGCUAACUGCAUUCUUAUAACACUAAAGCAUGUUUUUCACUAACAAUUAGUUUGGGAGGGACACACAUGCAAAAGCAACAGAAUGGACCACAGUAUUUCUCAGAAGAGAUUCUUUGAUAAAGCUGCAUAGAAAAGAAAACCAGACAAUGUUGCCAACAUGGCACGGGCAUUAAAUAACUUGCCUGUUAUUUAUAGACCAAAGCCACUGAGCGUGAGCCUAAAAGUGAGGUUGAGUGUGAGGGUGAAUGUGAGCAUGAGUGAGCCUGAGUGUGUGAGCCUGAGCAUGAACAUACAUGUCAGCACAAGGAUGACUGAGUGUGAGCACGUGUGAGGUGAGCAUACGUGUCAGCACAAGGAUGACUGAGUGUGAGCACGAGUGUGAGGUGAGCAUACGUGUCAGCACAAGAUGACUGAGUGUGAGCACAUGUGAGGUGAGCAUACAUGUCAGCACAAGAUGACUGAGUGUGAGCACGUGUGAGGUGAGUAUACGUGUCAGCACAAGAUGACUGUGAGUGUGAGCACGAGUGUGAGGUGAGCAUACGUGUCAGCACAGGGAUGACUGAGUGUGAACACGAGUGUGAGGUGAGCAUACGUGUCAGCACAAAGAUGACUGAGUGUGAGCACGUGUGAGGUGAGCAUACAUGUCAGCACAAGGAUGAGUAUGAGUGUGAGCAUGAGUGUGAGGUGAGCAUACAUGUCAGCACAAGGAUGACUGAGUGUGAGCACGUGUGAGGUGAGCAUACGUGUCAGCACAAGAUGACUGGGUGUGAGCACGUGUGAGGUGAGCAUAUGUGUCAGCACAAGGAUGACUGAGUGUGAGCACGUGUGAGGUGAGCAUACGUGUCAGCACAAGGAUGAGUAUGAGUGUGAGCACGAGUGUGAGGUGAGCAUACAUGUCAGCACAAGGAUGACUGAGUGUGAGCGCG